AUGGAUCCUUUACGGAGGGUGAUGUCACGGGGCGGUUGGGAUGUCCUACGACGACAUGAUGGUUCAGUCAUUUUCUCGGCGUAUCGCUAUUUAUUUAACUGCGGUGACGCUCUUGAGACAGAGAUUCAUGCAUUGAUGAUUGGUACAGCACUUACUCGUCAACAUACAGAGCUCCUAGUUAUGUUUCAGUAUGAUUCUUCCACUACUUUAUCUUGUCUUUCUAGUUCUAGUUUAGAUAGAUCGGUUUGUGGUCAUUUAGUAGCUGAAGUCAAGUCCCUUAUGAUGAUAAAGUGUUUAUUCCCCAGAACCUUCAUAGAUCUCAGAAUAACGUUACAGAUUGGCUGGCAAGGUAUAGUCGCUCUGAGCAAGCUACGACUGCGUGGCUCGGCAGAUGACCCCCGUGUAUCGAGGACCUCUUGCCCAAAGAUACUGACAAUGGGAUAA
rnacentral:rRNA from 1 species